rnacentral:rRNA from 1 species
UACGUAGGGCGCAAGCGUUGUCCGGAAUUAUUGGGCGUAAAGAGCUCGUAGGUGGCUUGUCGCGUCUGCCGUGAAAGCCCCAGGCUCAACCUGGGAGGGUCGUCGUGGACUGUACCGCUUGAGGGCGAUAGGGGCUGGUGGAAUUCCUGGUGUAGCGGUGAAAUGCGCAGAUAUCAGGAGGAACACCGGUGGCGAAGGCGGUUCUCUGGGCCUUACCUGACGCUGAGGAGCGAAAGCGUGGGGAGCGAACAGG